UGGGUGACCUGCCCUCAGCUCUGGGAUAAGCCUGGGAAACUGGGUCUAAUACUGGAUAUUCACUUCUCAUCGCAUGGUGGGUGGUGGAAAGUUUUUUCGGCUGGGGAUGGGCCCGCGGCCUAUCAGCUUGUUGGUGGGGUGAUGGCCUACCAAGGCGACGACGGGUAGCCGGCCUGAGAGGGCGUCCGGCCACACUGGGACUGAGACACGGCCCAGACUCCUACGGGAG
rnacentral:rRNA from 1 species